rnacentral:rRNA from 1 species
AUUGAACGCUGGCGGCAUGCCUUACACAUGCAAGUCGAACGGCAGCGCGGACUUCGGUCUGGCGGCGAGUGGCGAACGGGUGAGUAAUACAUCGGAACGUACCCUGUUGUGGGGGAUAACUAGUCGCAAGAUUAGCUAAUACCGCAUACGACCUGAGGGUGAAAGUGGGGGACCGCAAGGCCUCACGCAGAAGGAGCGGCCGAUGUCUGAUUAGCUAGUAGGUGGGGUAAAGGCCCACCAAGCCGACGAACAGUAGCUGGUCUGAGAGGACGAUCAGCGACACUGGGACUGAGACACGGCCCAGACUCCUACGGGAGGCAGCAGUGGGGAAUUUUGGACAAUGGGGGCAACCCUGAUCCAGCACUGCCGCGUGUGUGAAGAAGGCCUUCGGGCUGUAAAGCACUUUUGUCCGGAAAGAAAUCGCGCUGGUUAAUACCUGGCGUGGAUGACGGUACCGGAAGAAUAAGCACCGGCUAACUACGUGCCAGCCGCCGCCGUAA